rnacentral:rRNA from 1 species
AUUGAACGCUGGCGGCAGGCCUAACACAUGCAAGUCGAGCGGAUGAAGGGAGCUUGCUCCUGGAUUCAGCGGCGGACGGGUGGGUAAUGCCUAGGAAUCUGCCUUGUAGUGGGGGAUAACGUCCGUAAACGGGCGCUAAUACCGCAUACGUCCUGAGUGAGAAAGUGGGGGAUCUUCGGACCUCACGCUAUCAGAUGAGCCUAGGUCGGAUUAGCUAGUUGGUGGGGUAAAGGCCUACCAAGGCGACGAUCCGUAACUGGUCUGAGAGGAUGAUCAGUCACACUGGAACUGAGACACGGUCCAGACUCCUACGGGAGGCAGCAGUGGGGAAUAUUGGACAAUGGGCGAAAGCCUGAUGCAGCAAUGCCGCGUGUGUGAAGAAGGUCUUCGGAUUGUAAAGCACUUUAAGUUGGGAGGAAGAGAAGUAAGUUAAUACCUUGCUGUUUUGACGGUACCAACAGAAAAAGCACCGGCUAACUACGUG